rnacentral:rRNA from 1 species
GUGCCAGCAGCCGCGGUAAUACAGAGGGUGCAAGCGUUAAUCGGAAUUACUGGGCGUAAAGGGCGCGUAGGCGGAUAAUUAAGUUAGAUGUGAAAUCCCUGGGCUUAACCUGGGAACUGCAUUUAAUACUGGUUAUCUAGAGUAGAGUAGAGGGAAGUGGAAUUUCCGGUGUAGCGGUGAAAUGCGUAGAUAUCGGAAAGAACAUCAGUGGCGAAGGCGGCUUUCUGGACUCAUACUGACGCUGAGGCGCGAAAGCGUGGUGAGCAAACAGGAUUAGAAACCCUGGUAGUCC